GUCCUUGUAGCGCCAUGGAGAGCGCGCGCGCGCGCUUUGGACUUCUAAUACGAAGGUCGUGGGUUUGAAGCCCAUCUGGGAUG